AUUCCAGCAGGGGAAUGGCAUUUCAUCUUUGUUUAACUGAUGAACGGGGCACCUGCUGCAGGCCAGUUGUAAAAGAUACGGUGAUACAACCAGCUAGAAUGCUAAAGGUGAUUUUGGAUUGGACUGAGAAGGAAAAUGAACUAUAUGAUGCCAGCUACCUCAAGGAUCUGCCUGAGGUUCACAAAAGUGGACUUAGUUGGAUUGGACUGAGAAGGAAUAUGGACUAUAUGAUGCCAGCUACCUCAAGGAUCUUCCUGAGAUUCAUAAAAGUGGACUUACAGUGAAGAAAACCAAGCAAGAAGCUAUAUCCUUAUUUUCAUGCUUGGAGGCCUUCCUGAAGGAGGAACCUUUAGGACCAGAUGAUAUGUGGUAU
rnacentral:lncRNA from 1 species